CAGUAGCCACGGUAAUACGAAGGGUGCAAGCGUUAAUCGGAAUUACUGGGCGUGAAGCGUGCGUAGGCGGUGAGUUAAGUCUGCUGUGAAAUCCCCGGGCUCAACCUGGGAAUGGCAGUGGAUACUGGCUCGCUAGAGUGUGUCAGAGGAUGGUGGAAUUCCCGGUGUAGCGGUGAAAUGCGUAGAGAUCGGGAGGAACAUCAGUGGCGAAGGCGGCCAUCUGGGACAACACUGACGCUGAGGCACGAAAGCGUGGGGAGCAAACAGGAUUAGAUACACCAGUAGUCCCUGUCUCUUAUAA
rnacentral:rRNA from 1 species